UACGUAGGGGGCUAGCGUUGUCCGGAAUCAUUGGGCGUAAAGAGCGCGUAGGCGGCUGGAAUAGUCCGGUGUGAAAUCCACAGGCUUAACCUGUGAAUGCCGCUGGAAACUGUCUGGCUAGAGUCCGGAAGGGGCGAGUGGAAUUCCUGGUGUAGCGGUGAAAUGCGCAGAUAUCAGGAGGAACACCAAUGGCGAAGGCGGCACUCUGGGCCGGAACUGACGCUGAGGAGCGAAAGCGUGGGGAGCGAACAGG
rnacentral:rRNA from 1 species